CCUCCCCCGCCCACCCGGCACCCGCCCGUGCGUUGCGACGCCGCCUUCCCCGCCCGCUGCGGUAACGACGCCGCCUCCCCUGCAUAACGUCGCGACUUCCCCGCCGUCGCGCCUGGUAGCCCCGCGACGCCGCCUCACCCGAGCCGUCGGCGCGUCGUUCCUUCCCCGCGGCACCCCGCGACGGCGCGCCCCCGACCACCGCUCCCUGCCUAGCCUGGCGGAGUCGCUCCGUCUCGCCUCCCGCCGCCUCGUGCUGCUCCCCGUCAAUGACACCCCCGACGCCUUCGUCCUCGAGGGCAGUUCCCACCGGCAGAUCUGGGGGCGGCCGGCCACGAGCGCCGCCGCCGAACGCUUGGCCGAGAGGGGCAGGAGGAGGAGCCCACCGGGCGCUGCACAGGCGGUCCGCCGACGGCGGAAUAGACGCCUAGGCCGCCGGCGCUUGGUCCAGUGCGACCCUAGGAGGGGAGCCGAGGGGGGUGCGAGCUGCAGCCGUGCGUGGCACAAGAAGGGCAGGGCUCCUGGCCGGGCGCCGUUGGUGAAGGCGGCGUAGCCGGCGGCGGCCAUGGCCAGUAGCGUCUCGCCCCCAGGCAGGGCUCCUCGGCGGCGGCGGCCUACGGGACUGGAGGGGGCAGUAGACGAGCACCGGAACCUCUCUUGAUGGAGGGUAUGGUGAGGAGAUCGAGCCAUGUCGUGAUCCAGAUGCUCAGCUCCGCCUCCACUGGCGGGGACGAGGAGUCGAGGACGGCUUCGAUGCGGCGGCCGAGAGCUCACCCUCCCACGCCGCGGUAUGCGGUCCGUGCAAGAGACAGGAAGCAGAUGUGGUGGUAUGGCAUUGGCCAGUGGGAAUCGGUGGGAAAUGGUGACGCCGUCCACCGUGCCUUUCGAGGUGGCCAUCAUGGACCAGGUUUUCGUUGAGAUUCACCCAAGGAGUCAGCGUUGUUGGACGUCGUCCCAUGGAAGGUAGCUGCCGUUCUUAUUAAGUCCCGUCUUAAAGCUGCCCAGUUGCUAGAGCCUGGAGCCUGCACCUCCUCGACUGCUCCUCCAUUGAAAUUGUGGAUCACUUUGUGCUGAUGGAAUAUAGACAAGUGCUUCACAAUCUGACAUGGGCAAUCAAUUUUCUCAUGAUAGAUGGAAUGUGGGAAAGUGGUCGAAGGGAUGCAGGAGAAGGAGGUCUCCAAGGUGUGUGUUCAAGGCUUCUGCUGAGGCCGUCGGCUACUUUAAUUUGGCUGAGAUUGGAUGGGCCAGAUGGUGAGUGCACCAGCAAUCAGUUCCUUCUGACGAUGUGCUGAAAUGAUUCCUGCAUGUUCCGAUGAUAAAUUCGAAGAUUAGGCAGUUCGUGAUGCUGUUUGGUUGAGCUUUUCACAGACUUUUGUUUGCUGUCGUGAUUUUUCUUGGAAGGAGGGAUCGCUAAGAACGGAAGGGGAAAGUCAUUCCUGGUGAGAUGUCCUAAGCCUGUCUCUUUCUAUCAUGCUAAUGAUCCAAGUUUGUUGCCUAGAAAUGCUACCGGACUGCUCUUUCAUGUGAAUUAGAUGUAUGUUCAGUUGCGCAGGCACAUAAAGAAUCUGCUCUAAUAUAGUUUGAUAUACUAUUUGGACAUGGAAUGAAAGAUGAUUCAGUUUUUCCUGGUUUUCUCCUUGCCUUGUCUCCUGACCACGACAACAUGCAAUUACUCUUAACCAUCUAAUAAAAGUGAGAAGGCAAAGCACCUGUUCUUCAAAAACGAUAAUAUGUCUAUUACCAUCCUUAGAUGGUUCAAAAUUGAUACACACGGCCAUACAUCUGUUUUUUCAGUCUUCUCUUCAUUUCAUUUAAACAAAUAAAGAUUGUAAAGCAAACUCAGUACAUUGUGUGUAGCAGGAUACAUCUAUAAUGGCUUGCACUUUGAAGGCAUUUGCUGGUUAUCCUCUUGUCUAACCUCCAGUUUUUGUUUCAGAGGUGACAAUGCAAUUGUUUCAUUAGACUAUGGCUAUAAUAAUACAUCGAUGAAUUUAUUUUACCGUUCUUCGCUACAUUAUUGUUUAUGAUCUAUACGCUACCAUAAAAAUAAGAGAUGCAUAAAGUCAGCAAAAGCAAAAGGAUAGAUCACCAGGUCUUAUUAUUCCUUUUUUUAAAGUGAUGGACAUGUUCUUGAACUUGCAGCUAUCAGACAAGAGCCAUUUGAGAAUUUUGAAACAUAUUUCUGGGGGGCCAUUGUUUUUAUUUUGUGUAUUCAUACUAGCUUUCUCAUAAUUUGCAAGAUUGACAGAAGCUAUGAGCAGCUUCAUAUAUGGAUAAUUAUUUGAAGAUACAAGGAGAAAUUAUUUUUAUUGAAAUGUUUGUGUUUAAAGCUAACUGGAAGGCAAACAUAGGAAGCUCCUGUCUUAAGCCAAGAAGGAUUUCAGGAGCGAUAGCAGUACGGUUUGAAGCAAGUAGAUGGAUCCAUCAAGAAAUAAUGGUGGUAGAGCUCCUUUUAGUGAUGUCAAGCGCCACUAAUCUAGGUUCUCAAAGUGUCUCCAAUUGGCGGUGAUCGAUGGACUCGGUUAAGGCGUGGGUGGCAGCCAACUAUGUGCCCAUGACGUCGAUGCAGCAGUCGCUGCACGUCCCCUACGUGGUCUUCUCCUUCUGCGUUGCCUUCUUCCUCAACGGCAUCAAAGGCACGCACCCUCCUUGUGAAGUGCUGCCGCGUCUUGGUCUCGCCAUGUUUCGAUUUCAGAGCCUCCUGCCGUGCUUAGGGACGUGGCUGUUAUUCAUGCAUGCCUCAUAACUGACAACGUGGAGAUGGUUCAGGAUGGGACGUGGGGCAAGAUUUAGGGCAACUGCACGGUGGUUAGGGACUUCGCGGACAUGUGCUUCCACUCCUACCCGAUAUACCUCAAGGAGUUGCGCGAGAGCUCCCAUGAUUGUGAGCCCCAUUCCACGAUUCGAUAAGAUUGCUGGAUGUGCCUUCAUGUAUCUUUGUUGCUCUCCUGUGGUUAGUCGUGGACAUACCACUCUACACGGUGAUCGCGCUGGUCAAGAGCCCCUACAUGCUCUUCGGAGGCUGGCAGAGGCUGCUGUACGACCUCAUCAGCCGCGAAGGUCCGUUCCUUGAAACAGUUUGUGUGCCGAUCGCUGGCCUGACCAUCCUUUUCUGGCCGCUGGUGGUGGUUGGCAGCGUUUUGUUGGCUAUUGUCUUGAGCAUUUUCGUGGGCCUCUACGGCACAGUCAUUGUCUUCCAGAAGAAAUCAUUUCAAAGGGGAGUUUCUUAUGUUGUGGCCAAUGUUGCAGAGUUCAAUGAGUACACCAAUGAGUUUCUUAUUUUUGCAGAAUUUAAAUGUUUUAGUAGUCGAUCGAUUCAAUGUAUUCCAACUUUACUUUGUCAUAUCAAUUUUAAAUCUCACGUUAUGUAUAAAAAUAAUUAUUUUUAACAUGUGAUAUUUUUAAAUAUUAAUGUUCUGUAAACA